rnacentral:sRNA from 1 species
AUAUAGUUUUGUUGUAUGUGUUUAUGAUAGUGAAAUAUUUGAAUAAUAGGUCUAUAAAUAUUCAUAUUAUAGUAAAAUUGAUAUUUCGAAUUAUAGAUAAAUUUAAUUAUAAAAAAUUAUAACUCUAUAAAAUAGAUAUGACUUUAUUACUUACACAUUAACACACACACACAAAUGAACAUCAAAAUCAACAAAAAACCAUAAUCAUAUAUUCCGACAAUUUUAAAAACAAAAACUCAUGCGUAGCAUGAGUUUCAUCUAGAAUAACAAAUUAACUAAUAAUAACAAAUAUGUAGGUACGUAAUUUUAUAAAUAUUGUAUAUAUAAAGAUCAUAAGUUUAUAUACUAUCUAUAUGUGGUGUAAUCAUAUAUAUAAAAAUUGGCAAACUCUCUUCAUAUGAAUGACACAUCAUCACUUAGCUUUUAAUUUGCCACAUAUCCACUUAAUAAUUAAUGUAAGUUAAUGGUUUAUAGUGAUUUAUUAUUUAAUUAUAUAUAUUAUAAAAUUUUAAAUAAUUAAUUGUAUAAAUAAUAAUUUUCUUUUAUUUUGUAUGUCUUUU